UCUUGACCAAGUCUUGUGCCAGCAGUCGCGGUAACACAUGGGAGACGAGCGUUAUUCAUCUUUAAUUGGUUUAAAGGGUACCUAGACAGUUAAUCAAGCCUUAAUAGGGACUAAUUAACUAGAGUUUUAUAGAAAAAGGCUAGAACGGUGAGUGGAGAGAUGAAAUUUUUUGAUACACCUUAGAUACUGGCAAGGGCGAAAGCGACCUUUUAUGUAAAAACUGACGUUGAGGGACGAAGGCUUUAUAUAAUUAAAAGGAUUAGAUACCCAAGUAGUCUAAGCAGACAAUGAUGAGUGUCAUAUAUAAGUAUUUUAAUUAAUGCAACAAAUUAAUGUAACAUUAAAGUAUAUUUAUGUAUAAACGAAAGUGUAAGCACUCCACCUUAAGAGUAAUAUGGCAACAUAGGAACUGAAAUCAUUAGACCGUUUCUGAAACCAGUAGUGAAGUAUGUUGUUUAAUUUGAUAACCCGCAAAAAACCUUACCACAAUUUGAAUGGAUUAAAUAUCUACAGGAGUUGCACGGCUGUCUUCAGUUGAUAUCGUGAGAUUUUGGUUAGUUCCAUUUAAUCAACGUAAACCCUUGCUUUAUUUUUUAAAUAGAGUAGUUCGCCGAAAUAUUGGUAUAGAUAAUAGGGACUAAGACAAGUCAUCAUG
rnacentral:rRNA from 1 species